rnacentral:tRNA from 1 species
GUCCCUGUAGCGCAAUGGUAGCGCGUUGGAUUUCUAAUUCAAAGGUCGUGUGUUCGAAUCUUACCUGAGAUG